CAGUGCCCGGGACGGAUGCUAAUCUGGAUGUGGUUUACUGACACUCACUGCUCUGGAGUAGUGUUGUUCCAAGCACAGCACAUCACUUGGGCGGCUCGUCCAGUCCCCUUGGGAUUGGGGAGUCCACCCUAUAGACAGUGAUUGCAAAUCUCUCUCUUCCCGGGGGUGAGGCCCAGGGAAUGGGCAUUGAAAACCACCCCAAGUGAUCCUAUGCAUGCUAAUGUUGGGGAAACUUUCUUCAAAGAAAAUGAUCAGAAGAGUGAUGUGAAUGGACUCCAAGGCAUUUUUAGUCCCAUCCGGUCUUCAAAAUCCUUUGAAAUGGUGGGGAACCACAGGCACAGAGAUGGUAAGAAACUUGCCUCAGGCUGCACAGCCAGCAAGUGGCAGAGGUAAGAUCUGACCCCAGCCUUCCUGCCUCCAGAUCCCUGCUCUCAACCGUGCUGGGCUCCUCCGUGUCUGCUCCUCUCCGAGACUCUUACCUCCUUCUGCUUGGUUAUUCGGUUCUCCAGAUCUCGCACCUUUUUCUUUUCCUUCUCUAUGGCCUCUUUUGCUUUGUGUUUCUCGUAGGCGAUGCUGCUCUCUGAGAUCUGGAAGUCAGAGACAACCGGUUUGAGGGAGCGUACUCGAGAAAGGAGGGACAACGGAACCUUGAGGGAAGCCAGGAUCGCUAAUCACGGAGAUCAGAAAAUCACUUCUCCAAGUCAGUCUGGAGAAGGGAGUUCUUGGCCACAUUCCUAAGAAGCCUUCCUCAACAGAUGUCCCCUCGCAAUAAGAUUCAACGCGACAUUUUAGAGUCACGCAACUAUGGGAGGAAGAGGAAAAAAAAGGAAAAAGCGCCCGUCACCUGCG